AUGGCCACAUCACAUUGUAACACCGGCUCCCGUACGAUCCCCAAAGUUAAGCAAUGUUGUGCCUAGUUAGUACCUAGAUGAGUGACCGCUUUGGAAUUCCAGGUGCUGUAAG